rnacentral:lncRNA from 1 species
CCCUGUAGGUCAAGAAGUGAAUCUAGCUCUUCUUCCAUGCUACUUCAAUCACUCUUCCAACAAUUUGGGAGUCUGACAUCUAUUUUUUAUUCAGAGUUUGAACAUUGUGCGGUAUGAAGGGAUGCUACUCUGUCCUCCCAAAAGCUGAACUGAGAAGCUUCAAACUGGAUGCUCAGAAAAUGAGAGUAUAAACCACUGAAAAUCAGUUUGAGGUUCUUAGUCAACAAAAAAUGAACAAGUAUGUAAAGCUCUGAAUUUCAAAGCUGUGCUACCCUCAAAUUUCUCUUCCUGAAUGAAUAUUCAGGGACUGCAGAGGGAAAGGAAGAUUUCAAAGAAUUUUGAAGAAUUCGAAACUUCACAGAAACUAUUCUGGAUCAUCUAUGCUGCAAGUUCAUUCACACCAAGAUUUCAGAGAGCUGCAAAAUACUUGUCUUUCUGGAGUUAUUGUCUGUCUAAUUCAUGUGAAGACCAGAUGUGUGGAUCCUGAUGUCUCUUACACUUGAAUCACCUGUAUUUGCAAUUGCAAGUGUCACAGAAACACCUUCUCCUGUUUGAAGCUUUCUCAUUUCAAGCUUUCUUGAUUUCCACACUCAAGACAGAGGAAUGCUGUACCAUCUGCAAGCCUUGGGCACUUUGCCAGCAAAACUGCUGUCUGAAAUAAUUUCCAGCUUCACAUUGAAUUUUUCAUGGAAAUAUGAGCUCCGCUUAGGUGCUUUCUAAUAUGCAGUAUUAAAAGACUAUAACCUAACGCUGGAACUUAAGCCAUGCACAUGAAACUAUUGUUCUG